UACGUAGGGUGCAAGCGUUAAUCGGAAUUACUGGGCGUAAAGCGUGCGCAGGCGGCUAUGCAAGACAGAUGUGAAAUCCCCCGGGCUCAACCUGGGAACUGCAUUUGUGACUGCAUGGCUAGAGUACGGUAGAGGGGGGAUGGAAUUCCGCGUGUAGCAGUGAAAAUGCGUAGAUAUGCGGAGGAACACCGAUGGCGAAGGCAAUCCCCUGGACCUGUACUGACGCUCAUGCACGAAAGCGUGGGGAGCAAACAGG
rnacentral:rRNA from 1 species